AUGGCAGGCCGGUCCGUCGCUCCGACACUUGUGUCGGUGAGGAAAGUCCGGGCAACAGAGAGCGCCAUCCUUCCUAACGGGAAGAUAUCCGAAAGGGUAUGGCAGUGUAACAGAAAACAACAGCCUUGCCUUCGGGCUUGGAAAUGGUGAAAAGGUGUGGUAAGAGCUCACCGGUCGUGGCGGUGACGUCGCGAGCCGUACACCCGAUGGGUUGAAAGACCAUGUAUACCGGCGUCUGAGGGCUGCUCGCCCGAGCCGGGGGGUAGGUCGUAAGACCCCGUCAGCAAUGACGGGGCCAGAUAAAUGACGGACCGGGAGGCAUAAUCCUCUUGCAGGAACCGCAUCCCGACAGAACCCGGCUUACAGGCCUGCCUGUGAA
rnacentral:RNase_P_RNA from 1 species